ACGAUGAACCACUUCGGUGGGGAUUAGUGGCGAACGGGUGAGUAACACGUGGGCAAUCUGCCCUGCACUCUGGGACAAGCCCUGGAAACGGGGUCUAAUACCGGAUACUGACCCGCCUGGGCAUCCAGGCGGUUCGAAAGCUCCGGCGGUGCAGGAUGAGCCCGCGGCCUAUCAGCUUGUUGGUGAGGUAACGGCUCACCAAGGCGACGACGGGUAGCCGGCCUGAGAGGGCGACCGGCCACACUGGGACUGAGACACGGCCCAGACUCCUACGGGAGGCAGCAGUGGGGAAUAUUGCACAAUGGGCGAAAGCCUGAUGCAGCGACGCCGCGUGAGGGAUGACGGCCUUCGGGUUGUAAACCUCUUUCAGCAGGGAAGAAGCGCAAGUGACGGUACCUGCAGAAGAAGCGCCGGCUAACUACGUGCCAGCAGCCGCGGUAAUACGUAGGGCGCGAGCGUUGUCCGGAAUUAUUGGGCGUAAAGAGCUCGUAGGCGGCUUGUCGCGUCGGUUGUGAAAGCCCGGGGCUUAACCCCGGGUCUGCAGUCGAUACGGGCAGGCUAGAGUUCGGUAGGGGAGAUCGGAAUUCCUGGUGUAGCGGUGAAAUGCGCAGAUAUCAGGAGGAACACCGGUGGCGAAGGCGGAUCUCUGGGCCGAUACUGACGCUGAGGAGCGAAAGCGUGUGGAGCGAACAGGAUUAGAUACCCUGGUAGUCCACGCCG
rnacentral:rRNA from 1 species